CCCAGGCUAGAGUGCAGUGGCACGAUCUUGGCUCACUGCAACCUCCACCUCCCAGGUUCAAGCGAUUCUCCUGCCUCAGCCUCCCGGGUAGCUGGGACUACAGGUGCCCACCACCAUGCCUGGCUAAUUUUUUUUGUAUUUUUAGUAGAGAUGGGGUUUCACCAUGUUGGCCAGGCUGGUCUCGAACUCCUGACCUCAAGUGAUCCGCCUGACUCAGCCUCCUAAAGUGCUGGGAUUACAGAAUUAAAUAGCCCAUUUAUUAAUUUAUAAACCAUAAUAAAACCAGACAGUCAUUUCCCGUCACCAGCAGAUCUUGCAUUGGAAAAGGAAAAUAAUAUACAAAUUUCAGCAACUUCAGAGAUUUCAGGAAGCCUGAAUGGAGGUCGAAUUCAUUUUGGAGUUCAAUAAUAUGUUCAAAGAAUCAGGUACUAUAUAUAAUCAUAUAGACAACUCCCGUAAUAUCUCCGCAGUGCAAAAUUAUCCCUGUUUCUUGUCAUUCACCAGUGAGAAAAAUCCAACUGCAGACUUGACUGCCUUCGGUGAAGGCACACGGCAAGUUCUUCUGACAAAUAACACCCUUUGGGAUUGACUCUUCACGUUUUACACAGCAAUUGUCUCAGCUUGGGACCAAAGUAUUUACAAAGCAAGCGAACAAGAGACGAAGCAAGAGGGACACUUCUGAGGCCGGUGGUGCGGAAACUCACCGCCAAACAGGGUGGGGGGCCAGUCACCUCUUCAGGAGUGUCCCAUGUGUCAGCUGACAUAACAUCUUAAAUACAGAAUUCCAAUUGAAAGAAAAACAAACAACAACAAAAGAAACACCAGUCAAGCAUAAGUGAUGUUACUUCCUCUCUGAACAGGGAAACAUCUCGCUCGCUGGGAGAUAAAAGGUAAAUCUCUCAUUUGCUGCUCUCUUCCCCUAAGUGCCAGCAAGAAGCUGGGUGUGGUGAUGAAGAAAGAAGGCAGCCAUCACCUAAGACCCCACAAGCCAAGCCGUGGUCCCCUCCGUGAGGGCACGGUCCUUUCAUGAAGCCGUAAAAGAGACCACAGCUCGGACCUGAGCACUCAGGGUUACCUACUGGGGUCUUGUCAUAUUCCUUAUGUUGAUUUCUGCCAAGACCCAAACUGAUUCCUUUUUUUUUUUUUUUUUUUUGAGACAGAGUCUCACUCUGUCACCAAGGCUGGAGUGCAGUGGUGUGAUCUCAGCUCGCUGAAACCUCCACCUCCUGGGCUCAAGUGAUUCUCCUGCCUCAGCCUCCCAAGUAGCUGGGAUUACAGGCAGGUGCCACCAUGCCUGGCUAAUUUUUGUUUUAGUAGAGAUGGG
rnacentral:lncRNA from 1 species